rnacentral:lncRNA from 1 species
AUCCAGAUCAACUAGAAGAAACUAACAAUCCAUCACUUGUAGAGUACCUACAGUCUGAGAACAUUAACUUCCUAAUGGUCCAGAUACCAAAAAAAUGAAACCAGGUGAGGAGACGUCAGUUUUGUCCGAACCAGUUCCUCUCAACUCUACUGAAUUGACAGACCUCACAACUCCAGCUGUUUAAAUUAAUCCUCCAUCACCAGCAAUAUUACAAGUUCACCAAGAUACGAAGGACUAUCAGCAUAUCCUGUAGCACGUCCAAUGUCUCCGUUGUCUCCAUUACCAACUCAUGUCUGUCCAGGAACACCCAGUCCUGAAUGCUCACCUUUAUUUCCAGAACUAUGCAGGAGAGUUCAACAAACAACAACUUUUAAUUCAACACGAAUGCAACCUAGUGUACCAAGUCAACCCUUUCACGAUUCUGUACCAUCCAAUACAGCAUUCCUCCCAUCCCGGUAACCUAAUAUACAAUCAACUCUAUACAGAACCAGCU